GAUGAACGCUGGCGGCGUGCCUAAUACAUGCAAGUCGAGCGAACGGACGAGAAGCUUGCUUCUCUGAUGUUAGCGGCGGACGGGUGAGUAACACGUGGAUAACCUACCUAUAAGACUGGGAUAACUUCGGGAAACCGGAGCUAAUAUCGGAUAAUAUUAUGAACCGCAUGGUUCAAAAGUGAAAGACGGUCUUGCUGUCACUUAUAGAUGGAUCCGCGCUGCAUUAGCUAGUUGGUAAGGUAAAGGCUUACCAAGGCAACGAUGCAUAGCCGACCUGAGAGGGUGAUCGGCCACACUUGAUCUGAGAUACGGUCCAGACUCCUACGGGAGGCAGCAGUAGGGAAUCUUCCGCAAUGGGCGAAAGCCUGACGGAGCAACGCCGCGUGAGUGAUGAAGGUCUUCGGUUCGUAAAACUCUGUUAUUAGGGAAGAACAUAUGUGUAAGUAACUGUGCACAUCUUGACGGUACCUAAUCAGAAAGCCACGGCUACCUACGU
rnacentral:rRNA from 1 species